CAGGGCUGAGUCAGUGCGAACAGGGUGUUAGCAGGUUUGGAGGGCCCUGUCCAUGCAAGGCUCCACUCCAUUAGAAAAACAACACCUAUCUCCUGUCCCCUGGGAACUUUCAGGGAGAAGAACCAUGUUAGGUUCUAGCUAGGACUAGGAUUGUGGCCCUAGGAGAAUCGAGACAAGCCCCUGAUCUCAGAGGCUGCCUUCAGUGGACUGGAGCCAUGGAAGAGGGGUGGCCUGGAACCAUGAUGCUAUGCAAGUCCCAUCCUCAUUCAUUCCUGGGCCUCCUUGCUCAGCUGGACUGGACAGGUACAGGCAACCAGGGACUCUGUAAGGGCCAGCUGAGAAGUCACUUCUGUGUGCCUUUCUUGGUCUCCUCAGGGAGCCAUGGCCCUUCUCUGCAGAGCCUCAGCUCUGUGUGCAUGCACGUAACACACAGGGACAGAGGUGUUUGAGUCCUCUGUCCCUAAGAAGCCACAGGGUCCCUGAGGGCAGGGCUGGUACCUUAUUUAUUUUUGCAGGCCACAGCACCUGGUGAUGGUGGCACUCACAGAAUGAGGACAGAGGACAGGAGGUGAACCAGCCUGCACCCUGCUCAAUGUCCCACUUGGGGUCUGUGUCAUCUGUGUCGAGUCACACAGAGAAAGGGUCUCACUGUGUUGUCCAGGCUGGUCUCAAACUCCUGGCCUCAAGCAAUCCUCCUGCCUUGGCCUUCUAAAGUGAUGCGAUCACAAACGUGAGUAAUCCCAUCACACCACCUGGAGCUCAUAAGCCACUGUGCCUGGCCACAGUUUCCUUUUUAGACCAUAUAGUCACAAUCAAGAACACUGGCCAUGAGACUCUGUAAACAAUGACCUCUAGAGAGUAAAUUUCGAACUCCUAGAAGGAAAAGGGCUGCACUUAUAGCGCCAAGAGGCUUGAUGUUCUUCCGAGAGUCUCUUGUGAUGCCCUGGAGUUGGCAAAGCCGUGGAGUUCUGCAUUAGCAAGGUGUCUGACCUCUCUGAGCCUCAGCCCCUGCGCUCCUGUGUAGAGCUAGAUUAAUACCACCAACCUUGCAGGUGUGCCACACGCAUUACAGGGAAAGUAUUUAGGGAGCCUGGCAUUAAGCCACAGCUCCUAUUAUGCUCCAACAGUGCCUCUUUCAGGACAUACCUUGAACAGCACCUUCCAUUUCACAGUGACAACCAAUUCUGACAUGUGUUACUGUCUGAUCUUAACUCCAUUUCACAGAUAAGAAAAGUGAGGCUCAAAAGAGAGAAGUGACCUGCUCAAGGUGACAAAGCCGAGAAGUGCCAACCGCUAUCCUGACUCGUCCCCUAAGAAACCUGGACACUGGCUGUGUUCUCCAAGCGACUCUUCCUGCUAAACUCGUUCCUCCUGCCGCCUUUGCCCUCUUACCCACGACAUCAAGCUGGUAGGUGUGGUUGAUGCUGCCGUACUCAUUCUCCACGAUGCAGGUGUAGUUGCCCUUGUCAGAGGGCACCACGGAGUCCAUUAUGAUGCUCCAGGUGGCAUAACGGACCUGAGGGGAAACGCCAAAGGGGUACAUUGAGGGUCUGGAAGAAAACGCAGGCAGAAGCCCCAUGACAAUGUCCGAACCCUGGGACACCUGCCCUCCACAUCAGAGCCUGGAGGCACAGGGCCCCAGGCUGCAGGGUCGGCUAGGAUGAGGCAUGGAGUGCCUCCUACCAGCCCAUUCACAUUCUGAAAGAACACAUCAGCAGACAAGCUGGCAGAUGGGGUGUGAAGAUUCUGGAAGUCUCCACUGUGACAUUCGAGGUCAUUCGUGAUGCGGACAGAUGUGUCUUCUGCAAACACUCCCAAAUACACCAGGAAUGUUCCCAACUGUGCACUUCUAUUUGACGAGAAACUAGCCGUCGCUGCCCUUGACAGCUCAUUUCAAAAGCCAUCUCCUCUUUGGGAGGCUAAGGUGGGAAAAUCACAAGGUCAGGAGUUCAAGACCAGCCUGGCCAACUUGGUGAAAUCCCAUCUCUACUAAAAAUAUAAAAAAUUAGCUGGGUGUAGUGGUGAGCACCUGUAAUCCCAGCUACUUGGAAGGCUGAGGCAGAAGAAUCACCUGAACCCAGGAGGUGGAGGUUGCACUGAGCCGAGAUUGGUGCCAGUGCAUUCCAGCCUGGGCAACAGAGUGAGACUCUGUCUCAAAACAAAACAAAUUAAAAAAAAUUUCCUCCAACCCCGUCUUUGGCCAGAACUGUGCUUACCCUUUGUCUACUGAAGCACUGAUCAUAGUCUGCUUUUUAUAAUAGCAGCUCAUGACAUUUGCCUCAUAUCAGACUAGAAAAUUUUUAUGGGCAGGAAUGCUGUCUUGUAGCAUUUAUAGCAUGGUGUCUUGCAUGUAGUGAGUGCAUGGUGAAUUAAUUUAAAAUGUUUCUGGCCGUGCGCAGUGGCUCACGCCUGUAAUCCCACCACUUUGGGAGGCUGAGGUGGACAGAUCACUUGAGGUCAGGAGUUCAAGACCAUCCUGGCCCACAUGGUGAAACCCCAUCUCUACUAAAAAUAUAAAACUUAGCUGAGCAUGGUGGCCCGCACAUGUAAUCCCAGGUAGUCGGGAGGCUGAGGCAGGAGAAUUUCUUGAACCUGGGAGGCAGAGGCUGCAGUGAGCCACGACCAUGCCACUGCACUCCAGCUUGGGUGACAGAGUGAGACUCUGUCUCAAAAAAACAAACAAAUAAAAAAAGUUGCCCUAUUCUUUCUGAAAAUACUCUGCUUUCCUUACAUGUGAUUAACGAGAUAAGAGGUGAGAUGAGAGAAAAAUGGGACUAUACGGAGGACCAGAAACUCUGAAGAGGAAUUAAAGGAAGGUGUUCUUCCUACAAAUACAGAUGGGCCGAGGCUGUGACGGACAGUUUGCAGAAGAGGAAAUGAAAACUGCUUACUAAUAUAUGAAAAUUCUAACUUUUUUAAUAAACAAAAUAAUAUACAAGAGAAUAAUAAAAUAAAUACAGUCAUCCCCCUGAUCCGUGGGGGAUAUGUCCCAAGACCCCCUGUGGAUGCCUGGAACUGCAAAAAGUACCAAAACCUACAUAGAUAAUAGCACUGGUUUCUCCUAUACAGACACACACAUGAUAAAGUUUAAUGUAUAAGUUAGGCACAGCACAAGAUUAACAACAUAACAGAACAACUGUAAUAAAUAAUAAAAGUUUUAUGAAUGUGGUCGCUCUCUCUCAACAUAACUUAUACUGUACUCAUCUUUUUUUUGAGACAGAGUCUUGCUCCUGUUGCCCAGGCUGGAGCACAAUGGUGUGAUCUUGGCUCACUGCAACCUCUACCUCCUGGGUUCAAGUGAUUCUCCUGCCUCAGCUUCCCAAGUAGCUGGGAUUAUAGGCGCCUACCACCAUGCCCAACUGAUUUUUGUAUUUUUAGUAGAGAUGGGGUUUCACCAUGUUGGCCAGGCUGGUCUUGAACUCCUGACCUCAGGUGAUCCGCUCACCUCAGCCUCCCAAAGUGCUGGGAUUACAGGUGUGAGCCACCAUGACCAGUCUCAUCUAUUUUUAAUUGUUGGUUGACUGUGGUAAUGAAACCACGGACAAUGACAGCAGGGACAAGGGGGUCUGCUAUGUUUUUGCCUAUCAAAUUUGCUGGCCAAGGUAUAGUGGAUUUGUCAUUCUCAUACUCUUGCUAUGGGAGGGUGAAUCAAUUUUCCCUUUUAAGAAAGUAAUUUGGUAAUGUAUCAAAGGCUCAAAAAUGCUUACAACCCUUUAACUUGGUAAUUUCACGUAUAAUAAUCUGUCCUAAGGAAGCACACUUAAAAAUGCUGACAGAGAUUCACUGCAACAUUAUUUACUAUGGUGAAAACUAGAAAAUACCUAAUAUCACAAUAGUUCAUUAAAUUAUGGGAGUUUUAUUGUUGUUUUUUGGAGACAGAGUCUCACUCUGUCACCCAGAGUGAAGUGGUGCGAUCUCAGCUCACUGCAACCCCUGCUUCCGGGUUCAAGCGAUUCUCCUGCCUUAGCCUCCCACCAUGUCUGGCUAAUUUUUUGUAUUUUUAGUAGAGAGGGGGUUUCACCAUGUUGCUCAGGCUGGUUUCAAACUCCUGAGCUCAGACAAUCCGCCCACCUUGGCCUCCUAAAGUGGUAGGAUCACAGGCAUGAGCCACUGCGCCCAGCCAAAUUAUGGGAUUUUAAAAUAAUGGAAUCUUACACAGUUAUGAAAAAUUGUUUCAAACAGUCAUGCUUGAAAAGAAAUCACACAAAGACUCAUGUUAACAAAUAAGAAGGCAAGAAAAUUACAUACAUGAUGCGAUCUACUAUGUAAAAACCAUAUUACACAGAAAGAAGACUGAAGACAUUUUUAAACCUUAUUUGCAUUUGUUUGUAUUUAAAAAUUGUAAUGCAUCACCUGGAUAGUUGGGGAAGAUUACUUAAAACAAUUAAAAGCAUAUAAUCAGGAUUUCCUAA